rnacentral:lncRNA from 1 species
UUGUAAUCGUGCAGCUAACACGCCUGCCCACUUGUGUGCAAAGCAAGCUAGCACUCGAGAGGUGUCGGAGUGUUGGAUGCCAUCGCAACCUAGCUUCCUUGUAACUUGCCUCCAGACAGAUUCUGCCAGGGCUUUUGCUGAAUAAAAUUCCCAUAUUUCCAGUCAAAAAAAAGACAACGGUAUUAAUGUGCAAUACAGUUUCUGUAAAGAAAACACAAAACAGUGGUUUCCUGAAGAUCCCU